rnacentral:rRNA from 1 species
AUACGUAGGAAGCGAGCGUUAUCCGGAAUUACUGGGCGUAAAGCGCGCGUAGGUGGUCUUUCAAGUCGAAUGUGAAAUUUCCCGGCUUAACCGGGAAGGGUCGUUCGAUACUGUUGGACUAGAGAGCGGCAGGGGGAAGCGGAAUUCCCGGUGUAGUAGUGAAAUGCGUAGAUAUCGGGAGGAGCACCAGUGGCGAAGGCGGCUUCCUGGGCUGUUUCUGACACUGAGGCGCGAAAGUGUGGGGAGCGAACAGAAUUAGAUACUCUGGUAGUCCACACUGUAAACGAUGGGUACUAGGUAUAGGGAGUAUCGACCCUCUUUGUGCCGAAGCUAACGCUUUAAGUACCCCGCCUGGGGACUACGGCCGCAAGGCUAAGACUCAAAGGAAUUGACGGGG